GACGUAGGGCGCGAGCGUUGUCCGGAUUUACUGGGCGUAAAGGGCUCGUAGGUGGCCAACUAAGUCAGACGUGAAAUCCCUCGGCUUAACCGGGGAACUGCGUCUGAUACUGGAUGGCUUGAGUUUGGGAGAGGGACGCGGAAUUCCAGGUGUAGCGGUGAAAUGCGUAGAUAUCUGGAGGAACACCGGUGGCGAAGGCGGCGUCCUGGACCAAUACUGACACUGAUGAGCGAAAGCCAGGGGAGCAAACGGG
rnacentral:rRNA from 1 species